AGAAUCAACGCUGGCGGCGUGCCUAACACAUGCAAGUCGAACGAGAAAGGGACUUCGGUCCUGAGUACAGCGGCGCACGGGUGAGUAACACGUGACUAACCUACCCUGGAGUGGGGAAUAACUGAGGGAAACCUUAGCUAAUACCGCAUAAUACCUACGGGUCAAAGGAGCAAUUCGCUUCAGGAGGGGUCGCGGCCGAUUAGCUAGUUGGCGGGGUAAUGGCCCACCAAGGCAAUGAUCGGUA
rnacentral:rRNA from 1 species